UUGGCAACGCCGAGACGUGAUGAGGAGGAGCUCCGGCUCCGUAACUCAGUGAUCCCAUGCUUCCAAGAAAAGCUGCGCAGUGAGUAUAUGUAGUGACCGUACCGCAAACCGACUCAGGUGGGCGGGGUGAAUAUCCCAAGGCGCGUGGGAGAACACUGGCUAAGGAACUCGGCAAAUUGACACCGUAACUUCGGGAGAAGGUGUGCCCCCAUUACGCGAAAGCCCUGCGGCCGUAGCGGAAGGGGGUUGCAGAGAAAUGAGGGUUGCGACUGUUUACCAAAAACGCAGGACUCUGCGAACCCGUAAGAGGACGUAUAGGGUCUGACGCCUCCCCGGUGCUGGAAGGUUAAGGGGAGAUGUUAGUCUUCGGGCGAAGCUUCGAACCAAAGCCCCAGUAAACGGCGGCCGUAACAAUAACGGUCCUAAGGUAGCGAAAUUCCUUGUCGGGUAAGUUCCGACCUGCACGAAUGGCGUAACGACAUCCCUACUGUCUCGGCCAGUGACCCAGCGAAAUUGUAUUGGGGGUGAAGAUACCCUCUACCCGCGGCAAGACGGAAAGACCCCGUGAACCUUUACUGCAACUUGGCAGUGAAGCUCGGGACAUUCUGUGUAGGAUAGGUGGGAGACUUUGAAACCGGGGUUCCGGCUUCGGUGGAGUCAACCUUGAAAUACCACCCUGAAUGUUCUGGGCUUCUAACCCAGCACCGUUAUCCGGUGCGGGGACACUGUCUGGUGGGCAGUUUUGACUGGGGCGGUCGCCUCCCAAAAAGUAACGGAGGCGCGCGACGGUUCCCUCAGGCUGAUUGGAAACCAGCCGUAGAGUGCAAAGGCAUAAGGGAGCUUGACUGUGAGACCGACAGGUCGAGCAGGUGCGAAAGCAGGUCUUAGUGAUCCGGUGGCUCCGAAUGGAAGGGUCAUCGCUCAACGGAUAAAAGGUACUCCGGGGAUAACAGGCUGAUCGCGCCUGAGAGUUCAUAUCGGCGGCGCGGUUUGGCACCUCGAUGUCGGCUCAUCGCAUCCUGGGGCUGGAGCAGGUCCCAAGGGUUUGGCUGUUCGCCAAUUAAAGCGGUACGCGAGCUGGGUUCAGAACGUCGUGAGACAGUUCGGUCCCUAUCUGCCGUGGGCGCAGGAUACUUGAGAGGAUUUGACCAUAGUACGAGAGGACCUGGUUGAACGUACCUCUAGUGUUCCGGUUGUCCUGCCAAGGGCAUAGCCGGGUAGCUAUGUACGGAACGGAUAACCGCUGAAAGCAUCUAAGCGGGAAGCCGGCCUCAAGAUGAGGUAUCCCGGACCUUCGGGUCCCUAAAGGCCCCUUGUAGACUACGAGGUAAUAGGCAGGGUGUGGAAGUGUGGCAACACAUGGAGCUGACCUGUACUAAUCGGCCGUGCGGCUUGACC
rnacentral:rRNA from 1 species